CACGUAGGGCGCAAGCGUUGUCCGGAAUUAUUGGGCGUAAAGAGCUCGUAGGCGGUCUGUUGCGUCCGCUGUGAAAACUCGGGGCUUAACCCCGAGCCUGCAGUGGAUACGGGCAGACUAGAGGUAGGUAGGGGAGAAUGGAAUUCCCGGUGUAGCGGUGAAAUGCGCAGAUAUCGGGAGGAACACCGGUGGCGAAGGCGGCUCACUGGGGCUUUUCUGACGCUGAGGAACGAAAGCCAGGGGAGCGAACGGG
rnacentral:rRNA from 1 species